ACAGCCAUAUCACAUUGAAACACCAGUUCCUGUACAAUCACUGAAGUUAAGCAAUGUUGAGCCUGGUCAAUACCUACAUGGGUGAUCGCUUGGGAAUACCAGGUGUGGUA